GCCAGACUCCUACGGGAGGCAGCAGUGGGGGAUAUUGCACAAUGGGGGGAACCCUGAUGCAGCGACGCCGCGUGAACGAAGAAAUAUUUCGGUAUGUAAAGUUCUAUCAGCAGGGAAGAAAGUGACGGUACCUGACUAAGAAGCCCCGGCUAACUACGUGCCAGCAGCCGCGGUAAUACGUAGGGGGCAAGCGUUAUCCGGAUUUACUGGGUGUAAAGGGAGCGUAGGCGGCGAUGCAAGUCAGAAGUGAAAGCCCGGGGCUCAACUCCGGGACUGCUUUUGAAACUGUAUGGCUAGAUUGCAGGAGAGGCAAGUGGAAUUCCUAGUGUAGCGGUGAAAUGCGUAGAUAUUAGGAGGAACACCAGUGGCGAAGGCGGCUUGCUGGACUGUAAAUGACGCUGAGGCUCGAAAGCGUGGGGAGCAAACAGGAUUAGAUACCCGUGUAUGA
rnacentral:rRNA from 1 species